AUUGAACGCUGGCGGCAUGCUUUACACAUGCAAGUCGAACGGCAGCACAGCAGAGGUAACUCUGUGGGUGGCGAGUGGCGAACGGGUGAGUAAUACAUCGGAACGUACCCUGUUGUGGGGGAUAACUACGCGAAAGCGUAGCUAAUACCGCAUACGCCCUGAGGGGGGAAAGCGGGGGACCCUAAAUAGAGCGCACUGGGGAGUGCGUUGUAUUUAGGGCCUCGCGCAAUAGGAGCGGCCGAUGUCGGAUUAGCUAGUUGGUGAGGUAAAGGCUUACUAAGGCGACGAUCCGUAGCUGGUCUGAGAGGAUGAUCAGCCACACUGGGACUGAGACACGGCCCAGACUCCUACGGGAGGCAGCAGUGGGGAAUUUUGGACAAUGGGGGCAACCCUGAUCCAGCCAUGCCGCGUGAGUGAAGAAGGC
rnacentral:rRNA from 1 species